rnacentral:rRNA from 1 species
GCUCUCGGGUGACGAGUGGCGGACGGGUGAGUAAUGUCUGGGAAACUGCCUGAUGGAGGGGGAUAACUACUGGAAACGGUAGCUAAUACCGCAUAACGUCGCAAGACCAAAGAGGGGGACCUUCGGGCCUCUUGCCAUCAGAUGUGCCCAGAUGGGAUUAGCUAGUAGGUGGGGUAACGGCUCACCUAGGCGACGAUCCCUAGCUGGUCUGAGAGGAUGACCAGCCACACUGGAACUGAGACACGGUCCAGACUCCUACGGGAGGCAGCAGUGGGGAAUAUUGCACAAUGGGCGCAAGCCUGAUGCAGCCAUGCCGCGUGUAUGAAGAAGGCCUUCGGGUUGUAAAGUACUUUCAGCGGGGAGGAAGGUGUUGAGGUUAAUAACCUUGGCAAUUGACGUUACCCGCAGAAGAAGCACCGGCUAACUCCGUGCCAGCAGCCGCGGUAAUACGGAGGGUGCAAGCGUUAAUCGGAAUUACUGGGCGUAAAGCGCACGCAGGCGGUCUGUCAAGUCGGAUGUGAAAUCCCCGGGCUCAACCUGGGAACUGCAUUCGAAACUGGCAGGCUAGAGUCUUGUAGAGGGGGGUAGAAUUCCAGGUGUAGCGGUGAAAUGCGUAGAGAUCUGGAGGAAUACCGGUGGCGAAGGCGGCCC